AAUCGAUUGUGCAAGUAGUUUUUUCCCACAGUUUUUGCCAUGCUUUGUUAUAUAAAGAGAUUUGUUUGCAACAAUUCCGAAUAAGUUGGGUGCGUGACCUGAAAUGCUACAUAUUACAGAGUUAACCUUUGACCUGGCUGCAUUAGAAAAAAAAAAUCAUCAUUGCAGAGAUCUAAUCUUAGACAGAGUGAAAGAUGCUACCCCCCAACGAGUUUAAACAAGUUCUGUGUUAAAAUUGUUUUGUGUGGUAAAUCCAUUUUGAGCCUCAGCUGUUGCCCCCUCCCACCUGUUUACAAUGGAACAAAGCAUCUCAGGUGGAUUAUAUAUUGGGGUGCAUAUGGCAAAAUGUGCUUUUGUUUUUUAUUAUUUAGCUUAUUCAGAACUGCUGUGUGUCACGUGGCCUUACCAAAUCUUUAAUCCUGACAGUAUAUUUUUGGGGAAAUCCAUGACAGUACCUUUAAUAUCUGCUUUUCACAGAUCGUAUUUAUAGUCUUCUACUUCUUGGCCACGCAGGCUUGAAGGGUAGGAGAAUAAUUGUUUGACAAUACUAUGCCUAUCUUCUCUGUCUUUUUGCAAAAUCAAUCUAUUCACAUGCAUUAUGCGGUAUGUCCAUAUAGGUUAUAAUGGACUGGAUGUGCAUUUGAAAGCUCUAAAAGCAUAUUAAGUUUAAAAAAAGAGAGAGAAAUGGGAAAAAAGAAAAUAUAGUUUUGACUUUAGCAAAAAGGGAAAUGUCUGUUCCAGAAAGUUCACUUGUAAUUGACUACACUGAGAAUUAUGUAGGGAGGUAGCAUAACUACUGUAGAUACUUUUAAUAGAUACAUUUAAAAAGUAGUCGACCAUGAAAAUCAACGCGCAUAUAGCCUCUGGGAACAUUUGUGACACAGCAGAUUCUUCUCAGUAACAUUUUCUGCAUAGUGCUUUCAUAGUACAUGAAUGAAUGAAUGGACAAAGUGGAAACAUUUAAAGAUGAACACGUGUGACAUUUGGGUACAGAAGGUAAUGACUAACAUGCCAUAGACGCAAGAAAUAAGGAGGGCAAAUUACUGAUAGCGUGCACUACUCGGAUUUGCCAGAUUAAAUAUUAGGUCCAUCAGCUUGGAGCUAUAUUUGGCAGUUUCACGAAAACAUGAAAGCCUGCCCACAGCAUGAGCUAAACAACGUGCACGCAUCCUGCACUCUUUACCUCCACUCUGUCACAGCAACCUUUGGCGUCAGCGUACAUUUUGCUAUUUCGAGGUUGAAUCUUUUUUUUCUUUUUUUUUUUACACGUUAAUUUAUGUUGAAGUAAAGUGAAACCUUAGCGAGGACGGAAGUAAUGUCACAUGCUGCGUAAGGCAGGACGUGAUUCCUGCGUGAUUCCUUCGCUCAAAAGCCACAAGAACCGCGGGAAUAGAGGGAGGACGAACACGUAUAGUUUCAAACUGUAAAGCCAUAACUUUGAAGAAUUUCAGCAGCAAUGAAGACGCACUCGAUACUGCCCGCUUCCAACAUUAGCCCGAGGUGAAUAUGAAUGAAGAAUGACCAAUGCCUCUUUUUUGCAUCAGUUUCCUUGUUCUCCUUCUUCUACCUCUCUCUCUGUCCUGUGGUAGUGUACACCUUGAUAACAUCAGAAGUGAUUAUAUCACCAUCAUUCAAACGGAACUGCAGAGGACAACAGAAGAAAUCACAAGCUUGCUGCAAAACUCAGACUGUUCAGUAUUCUCACACAAGCUACGCAACUGCACACCAGGCAACGCAACGUCUGUGCGUACCUUACAUAACCUAACCUGCAAAAUGCGGAGUUUACCGUUUCUCCAGAUGACUCUACAACUGAUCACGUCCGUCGAAAUUUCGAUGAGUUGCCAUUGUCGUGAGAAAUCAAUCAAAAUGCCCACUGAGAGUUUAAAGAGGAGAAGGGGAGCAACAAGACGAAGGAGGAACGAGGGGACGAAAAACAGAAAGCAGACUAAAAAACUGUGCAAAGCCAAGGCAAUUCUUUCCGCCAUGACUGAAUGCUACCAGAUGCUAAACUCUCUAUAAAUGGAUACCUGAAUCCAAACUCAAUCACAGCAUGAAGCUCAAAACUUGCAUGCGCUGUCAGUUCCUCUGCAGUAUGCAUUGCUUCGGUGGAUUAUGCGAGGAGGAGCUUCCACUUCAUUUAAGCUUUCCUGUCAAGUACCAGUAUAUUUCUGUAGCAGCUGUUUCAGGUGUUGUAUGACUACUGACUCUUCAGAUAAGUUUCCCAGCCACACAGAAGCAAAAUAUUCAGUCAAGCGGAAAUGAAAUUCCUAAGUCUUCCUAAUAUCCUGAUUUCCCACACACUAAGGACCAGCUGCAUAUACAACCUUUUAUGCAGCAUCAUGUGGACUACAAACAGUUUAAGGUGCAUGUUUUCUUUUUUUAUUAUCACAGCAAAGCGUUUUAAUAGCUGAAGUUGUGUUUAGCUAUAAAAAGUGGAUAUGAUUAACUUUAAAGGUGCUUAAACUGAACUUUGUUUUCGAAGCACUUGCUACGACAUUAACUUGCACUUAGUAGUGGCUGCUGAAGCAUGACUAGGAAAUAUUAAGGUGCUCAGAUAUAGUUUUGCUUUCACUUUGGAUUGGAAUAACUAGCCCUGGCAGAUCUUUUUUAUCUUGGUUAUCUAAAGCUCCUCAAUUUUUGUUUUUAAUUUUCCUGUCCGGGGAGUUGUUUUAGGCUGUGUGUCAAGGUACGGUCUGAGAUGACACUGUGUUGAUUACUCAUUGACAAUGAUUUAUAUAUUAAAAGCAUGCUUUGCCACAGUUAUUUAAGCUCAGGUCACAGACCUUUUUUUUCCUAUCCUGGGAUAUAGCUACAGUACGAGCUUUUACUGUCACAAUCAGUUGGUGCUCUGAUUAAUGUUAUCCACCUAAAAACUUUUUUCCCUUUUUACACAAUUAUAGAAAAUAUAAGCAUGCAACCUUUGCUACAUUUUGCAGCUAUUUUCAGCACAGCAGCUAUUUGUUUCCCGUCAUGUAGCAUACAUUAUGUACUACAUAACAUUAUGUUGUUAUGUAGCUAACUUCUGUCUUUAAACUGUAUAUUUAAGCUGAUGACUAACAUUGUAUAUAACAUGGCAUACUAUUCAAAAAAUAUAUUUAUAUCCCAAACAAA